ACGAUGGAAGUAGGAAGUCUCCAUUUCCAUUGUCGUCCGAUUCCAUGGAGCCCCGAACUACGUCGUCGUACUAAGCCCACUUUGCCGCGCUUCUUAUUCUUCUUUAGGGCUUCUUCUUCCUCUUCAAAUUCAGGGGCAGAUUAUAAAGGGCCAAAGCCAAGGAGGGAUUGGGUCGCUGAUUUGGUCUCUAACAACGACGACGCCGUCCGGAGCUUGCCGAUUUACGUUGGAGGGGCAUCGCUGUUGGCUGUUCUCCUCAACCGCACCGUUUCGGGCAUUGCUCCGGUUGCCGAUGCCAGCAGUUCACAGUCAAGAGCUGAUCUUUUGGCACUUGGAUUGGCUGUCACCAAUAUUCUAACUGGUCUAGUAUGGCUGUCAAUCCGACCAAAGCCUAUAUCUGUGGUAAGUCCUGAAGGGGUUGAAUGUCAGAGAAUAUAUUCUCAUCUCCCUGAUUCUGUAUCUUCUGAAUUAUUGUGGGUGUGGGAAUCUCUGUCAGAUGUGACAUGCUGCAGGACUCUAAUUGUUGUUUAUGAUAGCCAUUGUAUCCUUCAAAUUGGUUUUGCAGCUAAAUCUUCUAAUGGUGAUGGUGAGCCUGUGGCAGUGGACUCUGUUAAACUAAUGCAGGGAUCCCUCUAUCAGAAUGUUAUAAAAUCUGGAGCUCAGAGCUACUUGGCCAACCUAUCUCUUUAUCCUGGAAAGUCUGAGCUGCCAUUUCUGCCUUCAAAUACACAGGCAGUAAUUCUGCAGCCACUUGGAGAGAAAGGAGUUGCAAUAAUUGGUGGUGACACCAUUAGGGGUUUUACGACUUCUGAUCAGGCAUGGAUUACUUUAAUUGGAGAAAAGCUGGAUGCUACGAUUGCAAAGAAUUUGAAAAACCUCACAUUGUCGGCGCAAGAGUGACUCUGAAAGAAAGACUGAUGUUAAGCUUACCAAAGAUCAUGUGUGCAUAACAUUUGUUGGGGCCUUUACGCAAGUGAACCUGGUAACGAUACUUCCAAAUGGGAUGAUACAGAAAUCAGGUUCAUUAGUAGUGGCGACUUCUGAGUAUGCUUCAAACCUCACGGUCACUUGAACCUUUGUGGGUUAUAACCCGAUCAUGCUCUUCAACCUUUCAAGUUGCAAAACUAGUCUAUUGAUUACCCAUUUCUAAGGUACAUGCCUCACAAAUUUCAUGCUGAACUUUCAUGUAUUGUUCAGAUAUGUGAUACAUCACAGACUCCCAUGUCUAUACUCCCCUAGAUUUUAUUAAUUGUAUCAUCCCAUGUCCUACUUUUUAAUGUAAUAUUCUUCCUAUAACAUUAAGCAAAGAAAUCGACGUAUCAUUCAACAAGUUUUUAAACAGAAAUGUGGAAAAAAACUGCAUUCCAUUUCAUGA